CAGACCCGCACAAAUAGAUCCGAUGGUUAUAUUAGUAACUUAAGUACCUAGACCCUGACCCGACCCGAAGUUAAAUGGGUAGGGUAUAUUUAUACUUUUCUAACUAUUUGUUUUAGGGUAUGGAUACAGUAUAUUAAUUAUCCAGAUCUGAUCUGAUCCAUGGACACCUUUAAGUUUGGACCCAGGGGGAGUUUGUAACGCUCUAAUAGAAUAUAUGAGGCAUGCAAGUCAGUAAUAGUAACUAGACUUAAAUAUUUUAGAUCGGUGGUUUGAAUCCAAUGAAUUAUUAUUGCUAGCGGAUCUGUUUGUUACAUAUUUGCCAUUCGAUAUAUUUAUAAGGGUCAAUUUCAUUUGUGCCCCUCUAAACUUCAAAAAUAUCCUAGAUGCCCCUAUAAAUUUGAUUAUAUCACAAUUACCUCUACAAAUACUUACUAGUUUUCAAAUAUACCCUUACCCUUACUAUUCAUCUCUUUAUAGAAUGAUAAAAUAUUUAGAUUAUCAUAAAUAUGGUCGAAAUGUCCAUUUUGCCCUUAACUUCUAAAAUUUUUUACAAAAGUAUUUUAGCAUGAUAUAUUUAUUUUAAAAUAUUAAAAUUUAUAAUAAAAUAUAUCAUUUUACUACUGUGUAGUUUGUAAAAUAAGAUACUAAAAUAAGAUACUUUAUAUCAUUUAUUUUAAAAUUCGAGAUACCAAAGCACAGAAAUUUGUACUAGUUCAAAUAUCUUAAUUCACAUCAUGCAUAUAUAUUUAAGUUAUAUUUUGAAUAAAUUGUUUAACCUUAUUUUAAUGAGUCAAUUGAUAACAAUUUUUUGCUAAAUUUUUUUCAAAAUUUUUGAUUUUUUGAUUUUUUAGCUUAAUUUGUCAUGAUUAUAUAUAUUUUUUAAUUGAAAAUUGAUAAUAAAUUAGUGUAAAGGUUAUUUUUAAAAAAAAAAUUUUUAAUAAAAUUAUUUAUGAUAUUUUAAUUUUUAUAGGGGCAUUCAUAAUAUUAGAUUUAUUUGGAAGGACAGUUAUAAAAUUUUUUCUGUUUAUAAAGAGUUGAAACUAACUUUUUUUUAAUACAAAUUU
rnacentral:lncRNA from 1 species